rnacentral:rRNA from 1 species
AGUAAAUAGAUACCCUGGUAGUCCCAGCUGUAAACGAUGCGCGUUAGGUGUAUCGGUGACCACGAGUCACCGAGGUGCCGAAAGAGAAAUCGUGAAACGUGCCGCCUGGGAAGUACGGUCGCAAGGCUGAAACUUAAAGGAAUUGGCGGGGGAGCACCACAACAGGUGGAGCCUGCGGUUUAAUCGGACUCAACGCCGGGAAGCUCACCGGAUAAGACAGCUGAAUGAUAGCCGGGUUGAAGACUCUGCUUGACUAGCUGAGAGGAGGUGCAUGGCCGUCGUCAGUUCGUACUGUGAAGCAUCCUGUUAAGUCAGGCAACGAGCGAGACCCACGCCAACAGUUGCCAGCAUGUCCUCCGGGAUGGUGGGGACACUGUUGGGACCGCCUCUGCUAAAGAGGAGGAAGGAAUGGGCAACGGUAGGUCAGCAUGCCCCGAAUUAUCCGGGCUACACGCGGGCUACAAUGGUCAGGACAAUGGGUAUCAAC